rnacentral:rRNA from 1 species
AUUGAACGCUGGCGGCAGGCCUAACACAUGCAAGUCGAACGGGUGGCGGACGGGUGAGUAAUGUCUGGGAAACUGCCUGCUGGAGGGGGAUAACUACUGGAAACGGUAGCUAAUACCGCAUACCAUCGGAUGUGCCCAGAUGGGAGUAGCUAUUAGGUGGGGUAAAGGCUCACCUAGGCGACGAUCCCUAGCGGGUCUGAGAGGAUGACCAGCCACACUGGAACUGGGACACGGUCCAGAAUGAGACGGAAGGCAGCGGUGAGGAAUAGUGCACAAUGGGCGCAAGCCUGAUGCAGCCGUGCCGCGUGUAUGAAGAAGGCCUUCGGGUUGUAAAGUACUUUCAGCGGGGAGGGGUUACACGCAGAAGAAGCACCGGCUAACUCCGUGCCAGCCGCCGCGGUAAUUC